UGGCAGACGGGUGAGUAACGCGUGGGAACGUACCUUUCACUACGGAAUAGCUCUGGGAAACUGGUGGUAAUACCGUAUACGCCCUCCGGGGGAAAGAUUUAUCGGUGAAAGAUCGGCCCGCGUUGGAUUAGCUAGUUGGUGAGGUAAUGGCUCACAAAGGCGACGAUCCAUAGCUGGUCUGAGAGGAUGAUCAGCCACACUGGGACUGAGACACGGCCCAGACUCCUACGGGAGGCAGCAGUGGGGAAUCUUGCACAAUGGGCGAAAGCCUGAUGCAGCCAUGCCGCGUGAAUGAUGAAGGCCUUAGGGUUGUAAAAUUCUUUCGUCAGGGAUGAUAAUGACCGUACCUGAAGAAGAAGCCCCGGCUAACUUCGUGCCAGCAGCCGCGGUAAUACGAAGGGGGCUAGCGUUGUUCGGAAUUACUGGGCGUAAAGCGCACGUAGGCGGACUUUUAAGUCAGGUGUGAAAUCCCGGGGCUCAACCUCGGAACUGCAUUUGAAACUGGAAGUCUGGAGAUCAGGAGAGGUUAGCGGAAUACCGAGUGUAGAGGUGAAAUUCGUAGAUAUUCGGUGGAACACCAGUGGCGAAGGCGGCUAACUGGACUGAUACUGACGCUGAGGUGCGAAAGUGUGGGGAGCAAACAGGAUUAGAUACCCUGGUAGUCCAC
rnacentral:rRNA from 1 species